AUAUAUAUAUAUAUAUAUAUAUAUAUAUACAUACAUAUUGGGCUGAAUUUAUUAUUAAGCAAAUUGGUUGCUGAAUACUUUUGAAAUUUAUGUAAUAGGAAGGAAGAUGGAUGAUUGUUAUGUCUGUGUUAUGUCCUAGGCCAAAUCCAAAUCAAAAUGACCAAAAUGUAUAAUCAUUAGGGGAGAUGCUACAAGGUUCUGCAAUAUCGGAAGUGGGAGAGGGUCCAAGCAUAGACUUUGACCUGUGCGCUUCCGUGAUGCAGUACAAAUACCAAGUAAGAUCUAAGACUUUAAGAGAAAUCCAUCGUACUCUUCCAUGGCCUACUUUUUACGAUAAAAGAUUAAGACCGAUUUUAAACAGUUCAAUGAAAGUAAUCAAAUUAUUAAGAGGGUGUAUUUUCUGCGAUUGGGAGAGAAUUUGGACAAAUUUGUAAUUUCAGAAGAGAAUUUGGACAUAGAAAUGCCCAGUGCCUAUAGAGAAAAACGAUCAACUUCUGCCUUUUCUGGCACCACUCCUCCAGGAAUGUCCAGAGUGCUCUGUGGUUCUAUAGUUUGGAACCCUAGGAGAGGAGGGACGUCUACUCUUCUAAAAUUUUGUGAUGAACAUUCCGGGAGGAUAUUUUACACAGGAAACAGACAGGCCGUUUCCACUCUCAUGAUGGACUUCUCUAAAGGUCAUAGCACUCAAUGAAAAGUUUUGACUUUUGUUUUUAUAAUAAUUUUUGUUUUUGCUUGCUAAAUGUAGAAAACUCAUAUACUCAAUUUAGAUGGCAGUUUGGCACUUAUAUAUUUGUGGUUUGAUGCUAAAAUCUGUAUUUUGUUUUGUUUUUCUUUGAGAUGUAUCGUGUGCAGCAAACUAGGAAGCCUCAGCCAAAUGAGAGAGGGGACGAAGGGCCCAGAGGUCAACAGAGGGGAAACAGGCUCAUUGGCCGCAACUGAGGUACCCCGGCAUGCGUGUAGUUUGUAGAGAAUUUGGCUUGCCUUACUUGGCACCCACGCGCCCAUAUUGGACACCGGGAGCGGCUUGGAUGGGGUGUUUCACUACUACUUUGCCGAAGUACAGUGAAGUACCGAGAAACUUGUGGCUUCCAAGCUCUCCUUGGGAACUAUAUGUUACUGGGGGGAAACAAUUCAUCAAGAUUCAGUCGGAGAGGGGCAUUGUCAGGAGCAAGGGUGGUAAUGAACUGAUUGGUUAUUCUCAAACUGGGGGAACUUGGUGGCAGUGUCCGGCAAUGCACCCUGAUUUAACUGGGGCAAUAUUUGAGCACCCGGUAAUUAAAAAACAACGACUGAUGUUUGUAAUGAAGUCUGGUUGUACAAAGCCUGUAAAUGGAGGUAUUAUGGAGGGUUCGGUGAGCCUGAUUACUGUACUUCGGCACAUCCAGAUUAUAACGGUAUUAUUUGGAGCGAUGCUCAAACCAUGCAAGAAAAUUCUCCCGAACUGCUUAGCAUGCUGCGGACGAGUAAUUAUAACUCGAUUGCGGCCUAUCAUAGGCAAUUUGGUACAGGGAAUAGGCGUUACGUGUUAAAUGAAUGCAUAGUUCAUAUACGUGUACACAGUUAGUAAAAGUCACCAAUGAGACAAUGGCUCAGAUUGCCUCCCAGUGCUAUAACGGAUGGGCAGCCUAUUUCUGUCCAGAAAUCUUCUAUCCUAGAACAAUGGACCCAAAGCUGUUGGCACCUGCGAGGAUGGAAGAGGAGAGGCCCAAGUCAACUGCACGCGGCAUCCAGAACGUCCCGCCCAGUCACAUCGUCCUGGGACGCCCGCCAAAACCUUCACAGGGGGAUGUCGUGAACCCCCCCUCGGCCACAGGAGAGCUCACUCGGGUGGGGUAAAAGGAUGAAGGUUUUGGUGUAAGCCCCACUAAAAGGGCUCCUGAAUUCAGAUGAAGACGUUCAUGAUGCUUUAUUUUGCUAAUUGAAUAACUGUUAGAGUAUUAGAGAUUAAGAGUGUUUUGGUUUAGAUAUUAGAAGUGUUUUUGUGACCCAUAUUACCCUGAGUUACUUAUUUUGCUUUGAUUUAAUCUGAUUUGUUUCCCUCAUAUUGAUUUGCUUAAUUCUUUCAAUUUAAUUUUUAAAGUUUAGGUUGUUUUGCAAUAAUUUCUGUAACCGUUAUGUUUGUGUGCAGGAAAAACAAGGACCUUCUGUUCUUUUUACAGUUGACCUUUAUUUGACACUGAAGUAUGAAACUUAUUGUUCUGCGGUGUGCGAGGGGCCUGUAUGCAAGGCGGUUGCGAAGCUUCCUGUUCCUUCGACGAAGCGAGGUGGCCGUUGCUUCACAUCUGGCUGGGGCAGAGGCGUAGGGGUUUAGAAUGGUGAAGAUUGUGGUUUCUAAGAAAGUGUUGCCUGUACUUGAAAAAUGUGUGCUAUCUGUGACGUACUGAUCACUUUGCAUGUACCUGGGUGGAGUUCUGUGACCUCAUAUAAAAUACAGAAAAUUCCGCAUAAUAAUUCAGAUCCUGAUUUUUGGUUGGCAUUGGCCCUCCGGCUGUAACUCGGCUAAGGAGGUCAGAUCUCAAAUUCGGACUAGGCUGUGCUUUAUAGCUUUCCUGGUCACAGGGUAAUUUCUCCAAAAGGUACUUGCAAGGUGAUUUGUCCUAAUUAUUUUUGUAUGAGCUUUCUGUUAAAAAUACAAUAAAAAGCAGAUAAAAUAAGACAGAGACAAAUCACUUGUUGGAAUCUUUUGUUGAGUCUUUCCCUCAAUUAUUAAAAAAAUAUAUAUAUAUUCACUAUGAGCGAGUCAAGUCAUCCUAGAUUUGUCUUUCUCUGGAGAUAGAGUCUGGAACAGGAAUCCUCUGGAGUUUCUUGGAGCCAAAGGGUUUCCGUCAGAGAUAGAGGCCAGUUUCUGGAGCAUGGCCUGAGGCUGACUCAGCAGAGAGCCCCUCUUCACCUGCAGGAGGGACACUAUGGAUGAGAUCUACAAGCUUAAUCACAAAUGAACCAAAAUCACUGUUUCAAAUGGGACGCAAAAAGAAGCAGAAAUUCUGAAAUUUAAGUUCCCAAGUACCAUCAAACAGUGUCUGCGUAACAACUAAUUCGUCCAGGUAUGAUCCACAGCGAAUAAAAAAAAAAAUCAUUUCUAUCAACUGAACACCAGAACUGAAGCCACUUGGACUUGGAGUUGGUGAAACGUUAACAAACUCUCUCAUCCUUUUCUGCAUAAAAACUGCUAACAGUGGAGUGAGUUAGUUUGUAGUUUGUACAAAGAUGUUCUAUUAGUUUGUCAUUUCAUCUUUUUGUUAAUUCUGAAAAACUUUUAAUAUGUGAAAUUUGAAGCAUUAUUAAAACUUAAAUUGCAAAUCUAAUCUCUCAAUCUCAAUGUUAAUCAGAAGAUUCUCAGUUUGAUAUUUUUCACAAAUGGUUCAGCCCUAUUAUGGAGCUUAAUCACAUUGACACAAGUUUAGUAUGAGAAGUUACAAAUCUAAGAUGGGAAGAACAAGAAGAAGUAGUGUAAAUAAAUACCGGUAGGUUCUGUGUUGGUCUCUGGAAAGGAUUCAAGGCAACAGUGGACUUUUUCUCAGUUGGAACGACCACUGGGGGCUCUGAAAGAAGAGAUCAUAUUUUUUAAACACAGUGAAGAAUAAGAGCUAAGGUUGUGAAAUUUCUAAAUAGUUAAACCCUUACUAAAUAUAUAUAUAUACUGUAUAUUUUUAAGCUCAGUAAGGGGUGCUUUAAGAUGAAGAACAAAAUACACUAUGUAAUUUGGAUCAAUCACGAACAUCUUAAAAUAUUCAUCAGUCAAAAAUUCAUCUGUAGAAAAAGAAUAAAAGCAGCAGUUUGUGUGUAAUGUUUUGUAAUUUGUGCCUCUCCAGGUUGUUGAUUAGAUAAUUUUUCUAAUUGACUGGAGCAAUAGUUCAGUUUAAUAAUAAAAAUAAUCGCACCUUU